UGCACCAGACUCCUUUUG
rnacentral:snRNA from 1 species